GCCGGGGUGGCGGAAUUGGUAGACGCGCACGAUUCAGGGUCGUGUGUCCUCACGGACGUGCGGGUUCAAGUCCCGCCCCCGGCACCA
rnacentral:tRNA from 4 species